rnacentral:lncRNA from 1 species
UGUUCCAAAUUUCCAGUCAAGCAUCCAGGUUCAGUUUGUCAACUGCAAUCAACCUUCCAGGUCUAGAAGAAGUGAAAGGAUCGUUGGAUCUUGACCGCGCCCGCCUUCAGGAUCAAAUACGGGAUCUAGAGAAGGAACAGCUGCAAACCGAGCACAAAGUGCAGAGCUUCCAGGAAGAACUGCAAAGAGCUCAGGCGGCCGGCAGCCAACCGCAGCAGGAGGAGAAGGAGCUGCAAUCCCGACUAUUGAACGAAGUGGAGGAGCGCGAGCGGUCCCAUCAAGAGCUGCACCAACUGAGAAAGCAGAUGUCUGAGCUGGAGAGAAAUCUGGAACAAACCAGGCAGGAGUUGAACAAGACCCGAACUCAUUCCGGCCAACUAGAGGAGCAAUGGCAUGCACGCUAGCAAUACCUGCUGGUCCAUUUGGAGGACAGCAGAGUGAAGGAAAAGCGGCUGGAGGACCAAAAGCAUAACUUAGAAGUCUGCUUGGUGGACGCCACUCAACAGAUACAAGAGCUGAAGACCGAACUGGGCGGAGCUGAGGGAAGAGUUCGCGCCCUAGAAACGCAACUCACUCAACUGGAAUGUGCCAAACGGGAAAUCGAGCAAAAGCUCUUCAGCGUGGUGUCCACCCUGAGGAGAAUAGGCGGCAUCCAGCUGGAUGGUUCAGUUAGCAUGCCCUAUAGAUUGCUGAGUCCAUCACGCAGAUGGAGCCCGGCUAGAGGCCAUGAGGACAAAGACGGUUCUAUCGAUGUGGAUCCGGAGGUGGUGCGAAAAGGCGUGCGCAACCUGAUGCAACAAGUCGCUCAAAUCGAAAGAGAGCGGGU